rnacentral:sRNA from 1 species
AAAUAGCCCUGAUGGAAACGUUAUCCUUUUUCUUGCUUCUUUAGCAAGGAAAAGAUAUAGUGUACAGCAGGAAAUAGC